rnacentral:tRNA from 1 species
GCCGGGGUGGCCGAGCUAGGUCCAAGGCGCGGGACUCGAGAGUAAAGCAAGACAUCCCGUCCCCGCAAGGGGGCCCGGGUUCAAAUCCCGGCCCCGGCA